AAUGAACGCUGGCGGCAUGCCUAACACAUGCAAGUCGAACGACGGCCCGAUUUCGGUUGGGUCCUUAGUGGCGCACGGGUGCGUAACGCGUGGGAAUCUGCCCCUCGGUUCGGAAUAACAGUUAGAAAUGACUGCUAAUACCGGAUGAUGACGUAAGUCCAAAGAUUUAUCGCCGAGGGAUGAGCCCGCGUAGGAUUAGCUAGUUGGUGUGGUAAGAGCGCACCAAGGCGACGAUCCCUAGCUGGUCUGAGAGGAUGAUCAGCCACACUGGGACUGAGACACGGCCCAGACUCCUACGGGAGGCAGCAGUGGGGAAUAUUGGACAAUGGGCGAAAGCCUGAUCCAGCAAUGCCGCGUGAGUGAUGAAGGCCUUAGGGUUGUAAAGCUCUUUUACCCGGGAUGAUAAUGACAGUACCGGGAGAAUAAGCUCCGGCUAACUCCGUGCCAGCCGCCGCCGUAA
rnacentral:rRNA from 1 species